GUCCCAUUAAUUGUUUUCUCAAUCUGCUGAUUGUAUUCCUUUGCUUUGCUAGAAUGGUGGAUCUCAACAAAAUUAUCAUUUUGUUAUUGCAUCUUAUUAGGAUUUUUUUACCCAAAAACUUUUAUUUUUUGAUUUUAUUGGAAUAAGAUGUUAGUUCCUAGGAUUAUACUAAAUAUUAGUAAUUAUUGUGGAUCUGUACCUCGACCUCGGCUGUCACAUCCUCGGCUUCACCCGAGCUAUGAAAGAUUGAUGCUUAUCAGAUCG
rnacentral:lncRNA from 1 species